AGUACAAGAAAUAUAUCUGUGAUAGCAAAUGAUCUGUUGAAGUUGGACCAGACAAAUGUGUAUGAGGGUGAUGAUGUUGAAAGAGUACAAAAUCUGAUUGAGAUGUCAAAACAGCUAGACAUGGACAUAUACACAGUUCCUAUAAAUAUAUUUGUAGAUGACACAAGUGGUAACAGGUCAAAAAAAUGGAACCCAUUAAGUGUGUGGACUCUUCAGUUGGCAGGAUUACCAACUUCUGAAAAGAUGAAGAAAUCAUCACAUCAUUUCAUUGGAGUU